AUUGACCUCGGAUCAGGUAGGGAUACCCGCUGAACUUAAGCAUAUCAAUAAGCGGAGGAAAAGAAACCAACAGGGAUUGCCUCAGUAACGGCGAGUGAAGCGGCAACAGCUCAAAUUUGAAAUCUGGCCCCGUCGGGGUCCGAGUUGUAAUUUGUAGAGAGUGUUUCGGGUGAGACCACGGUCUAAGUCUAUUGGAACAUGGCGUCAUAGAGGGUGAGAAUCCCGUAUGUGACCGUGGCUCGAGCCCAUGUGAAGCCUCUUCGACGAGUCGAGUUGUUUGGGAAUGCAGCUCAAAAUGGGUGGUAAAUUUCAUCUAAAGCUAAAUACUGGCUGGAGACCGAUAGCGCACAAGUAGAGUGAUCGAAAGAUGAAAAGCACUUUGGAAAGAGAGUCAAAAAGUACGUGAAAUUGUUGAAAGGGAAGCGCUUGCAACCAGACCUGUCCGUAGGUGAUCAGCCGCUGUUCUCAGUGGUGCACUCGCUCUGCGAUCAGGCCAGCAUCGGUUCCGGCGGUCGGAUAAAGGCCUUGGGAAUGUAGCUCCCUUCGGGGAGUCUUAUAGCCCUCGGUGCAAUGCGGCCAGCCGGGACCGAGGACCGCGCUUCGGCUAGGAUGCUGGCGUAAUGGUUGUAAGCGACCCGUCUUGAAACACGGACCAAGGAGUCUAACAUCUAUGCGAGUGUUUGGGUGUUAAACCCAUGCGCGGAAUGAAAGUGAACGGAGGUGAGAACCCUUUAGGGCGCAUCAUCGACCGAUCCAGAUGUCUUCGGAUGGAUUUGAGUAUGAGCAUAGCUGUUGGAACCCGAAAGAUGGUGAACUAUGCCUGAAUAGGGUGAAGCCAGAGGAAACUCUGGUGGAGGCUCGCAGCGGUUCUGACGUGCAAAUCGAUCGUCAAAUUUGGGUAUAGG
rnacentral:rRNA from 1 species